UUUUUUAAAAGUGCAGAACCAAAUGAACUAAUGACCCAAUGAUGCAGAAUGGAAUUUAAGAACUGAUGAAGAGAUGAUAACGCUGCAAGGGAACAAAUUCUGCCACUCCCAAAUGUGUCUCUUUAGCAUAAGGAUUUAGACGGAAAGAAACAGAAGACUUGGGAAGUUUUUCUUGUUAUACUUCCCCUUAACUGCCUAAAAGAAUUUGGAUGAAGGGCCUAGUCCCAGAAUAGAGCUGUCACCAGAGAGAUCUGCAAAUAGGGACUAAGUGUGAUGGGGGAAACUUGGCAGGGUCUGGACAUCAGAGUCUGGACAGUGAAACCACUCUGUGUUCCGCUGUCUCCACGUAAACCAGCACGCAUUUAUUUACCAAACAUUUGCCUUCCCCCCUCUAUGUGAGUUACCUUCCUCCCCUUUGAAGUCACAAACCACUGCCCCCAACAUCCUCUUUUGUCUUUAGCUGAAGAUUAUAUUUAAGCUUUAAUAUUUAAGGAUUUCAGCUAUUUUUGGUGAAUUACUCAGUCUUCCUGGGCCACUUCCAUGCAUACAUACUAUUAAAUUUCUGUCUUAUUUUGUCUUAUUAACCUAUCUUGAUGGGGAGAGAGUAAAGGGACAAAGUAGGUAAUUAAAUAGUUAAUCCAGUAGGGGAUUGUAUGUAGAAAAAUAUAUGGGAGACCCCUGUAAGUUAACGGUGACUCCUGAAAGCAGGUUGGUUUAACCACAAAACCAAGCAGGCUUGCUUAGCAACAAAACCAGGCAGCAGAAGUACCAGCGCUGCCCCAGACAAUAAAACAAUGGUGGCGUGAGCCCCACACCCUGCCCUUACUGAGCUCAGUAAGUGAACGGUCCCUAGGACGUGCUCUCUACACACAUCAAGGACAAUGCGUUGUGAGUUUAGCUUGACCAUGUGGGGACAAGAAGACUCCCUUGCCCAACCUGGAGGAGGAGCUGAUAAUGGAAGCAUGACGUCUACUCAAGAAAGGCAAAGGAGCUGGAUUCAUUCUAUACUGACAUAAAGGACUGCGGUGCUGGAGCUCUUUGGUCCCCCUCCCCGCCACCCCCAAACAACACUCGGCGGCUUCAGAUGGCAACCACUGCAGGGCCCUGACGAGCCGAUCAAUCCCGGAGGCUCUGGGGCUCUGAUCGGGUGCCUGAGAACAGGCCAGGUGGGUGAUGAUACGGAGCCUGAAGACAGAGAGCUGGAGGAUCGACUGCAGUCAGUACGAGUGGCCCCGGGAAGAGGACGUGGAUCUUCAGAGACGCGGGCGGGGUCCCACUGCUGAGGAGGCGACAGGGGAACUGGUGUGUAAAAAGGGGGAGUCUGCUGUUCGGGCUGCUCCUGACAGGAUGUGUCCGUCUACACCCCUCAGUUCUGAGACUUUUCUCCUACACUGUACAGCCAUCCCCGAGUGUUUCUCCCAAGGGGUCUCGCCUUUCGAGAUGGCCCACACUCUGUCUCUGGACUGUGUUUUCCCUCUAGAAAGAUCCACUUCUUGCCGAUAACUCUGUCUCUCACUGAACCCUUUCUGUGAUGAGACAUCGAGAAACCUGAGCUUCCUGAAGUUCCAAGCUGGUUUUGCCUGGUUUCAAGGCCCAGUCUGGGUUUUGGCUGUGUUCUAGUCCCCGCUGCGUGGGAGGCUGAGGAAGAAAAGCUAUAAUGAAGCAGACAGCGCCAUGAAACCUAAGAUGGCUGCGUGGCUCGCCCGACUCCCUGACAAACUCCAUUUCAUUACGUGGGUUAAGGCCCUCCUUGGCUACAAAGCUGAUACGUUCACAAUAAAAAUGAAUGGUUAGAAAUGU